GUCAUGAACCAGUGACUCAAGAGUCCUUCCCACAUGAAAAGGGUCCCAGAGGAACUCCUUAUUGUUGUGGAAAUGCUGAUUUCAGGUUCCAGGGUAUCUGCUCCAGUCAGUGCUCCAUCCUCUUAUUCUCAUCCCACAUUAUGCCUGGAUAGCCUGACGGGCCAUAGGAAGCCUUCUGCUGUUUCCAGACAUCGGGGCAGUUUUGCAUCCCUGUGCCAGGUCUGUGUCCAUGUACUGGUGGCUGGGAUGGCUGCCCAGCAGGGAGACGUCCUGCUGGCUCCCAGGCUGCCUUAG
rnacentral:lncRNA from 14 species